GACGAACGCUGGCGGCGUGCCUAAUGCAUGCAAGUCGAGCGACGCACAUCGGAGGGGUACCCCACCGAUAUGACGGAGCGGCGAACGGGUGAGUAACACGUGAGCAACCUGCCCCACAGAUCGGGAUAGCCCAGGGAAACCUGGAUUAAUACCGAAUACCCUCGAGUAACCACAUGAUUGUUCGAGGAAAUGCCUUUGUGCUGUGGGAUGGGCUCGCGGCUUAUCAGCUAGUUGGUGGGGUAACGGCCUACCAAGGCAUCGACGAGUAGCUGGUCUGAGAGGACGAUCAGCCACACUGGGACUGAGACACGGCCCAGACUCCUACGGGAGGCAGCAGCAGGGAAUCUUGCGCAAUGGGCGAAAGCCUGACGCAGCAACGCCGCGUGGGGGAUGAAGGCCUUCGGGUUGUAAACCCCUUUCAGGAGGGAAGAAAUUGACGGUACCUCCAAAAGAAGCCCCGGCUAACUACGUG
rnacentral:rRNA from 1 species